GGAAGGCAUCCGUAUCCGGUGGUGCGGCUGAGCUUCAAACUCAGUUGGGAAUGUCAGACAUUCCCAGGUCGGUUCGACUCCGGCUGCCUUCCGCCA
rnacentral:tRNA from 1 species